CCCGCCGCGGCCCGCGCGCGCUCGGGU
rnacentral:ribozyme from 1 species